UCCCUUCUUGGUCCAUCACAAAUCCUUGGAUCUCGUUCACAUUAGAACUCCAGUAGUUCCCCUAAAAGAACGACACGGGUCGUCAACAUGGAGUCCACACGUAUCCGAGCCACAAUGAAACCUGCGGUGACCUUGACGAAGUGUUCGAUCCACCGGCGGCCACUGAGGAUGUUGUGGACACACGUGGUGACUUUGUUCCAUUCGUAGUGAUCUCCAAACCUGAACACAUCAACAACAAACUGUCUGGACAUGUCUCUCCAGGUGGGAAGGGUGCAGCCAUUUUGCCUUGUACUGCCACUGGCCGUCGACUGAAAAUGACAUCACCGUGCCAAAGGGCUCAGCUUGCGAACAUCAGAUGACCAAACCCCCCAAAACAGGUGAGCCAUGACGGUUGUUACCUAAGCCCUUAGGCAGCAGAGCGGUGUGUGUGUGUGACAUUCCAAAAUCAUGUGCAUUCAGUGGGGGAAAAAAAGCGACGACAGGAAGAAAACCCAUUUUAGUCGACUUUUCCGGUGUACUGGUAUAUGUGCAAAUGUUCGGCCAUGUGUAAUGUGACAUAAGAGUUUCAUUCUUCGUGACCAAACA